rnacentral:rRNA from 1 species
AUGCAGAUCUUCGUGAAGACCCUCACUGGCAAGACUAUCACCCUCGAGGCGGAGUCCUCUGACACUAAAAAGGCCACUUCAAAAAAAAAGAAGAUCCAGGACAAGGAGGGCAUCCAGCCGUACCAGCAGCGCCUGAUCUUGGCCGACAAGCAGCUCGAGGACGGACGCACACUCGCCGAUUACAACAUUCAGAAGGAGUCCAAUCUGCACUUGGUGCUCCGCCUCCGUGUGGUGGCCAGCGAGUCGUUUGGAAGGUGGUAG